GACGAACGCUGGCGGCGUGCUUAACACAUGCAAGUCGAACGGUAAGGCCCUUCGGGGUACACGAGUGGCGAACGGGUGAGUAACACGUGGGUGAUCUGCCCUGCACUUCGGGAUAAGCCUGGGAAACUGGGUCUAAUACCGGAUAGGACCACUGCCUGCAUGGGUGGGGGUGGAAAGCUAUUGCGGUGUGGGAUGGGGCCGCGGCCUAUCAGCUUGUUGGUGGGGUGAUGGCCUACCAAGGCGACGACGGGUAGCCGGCCUGGGAGGGUGACCGGCCACACUGGGACUGAGAUACGGCCCAGACUCCUACGGGAGGCAGCAGUGGGGAAUAUUGCACAAUGGGCGCAAGCCUGAUGCAGCGACGCCGCGUGAGGGAUGACGGCCUUCGGGUUGUAAACCUCUUUCAGCACCGACGAAGCGCAAGUGACGGUAGGUGCAGAAGAAGGACCGGCCAACUACGUGCCAGCCGCCGCCGUAA
rnacentral:rRNA from 1 species